GAGGAUUUAAUUCCAAAUUUAAAUGAAGGAAAUUGAAAUGUACCCAGAUGAAUAAAAUUGCACAAAAUCUUUUCAGAGAUUCUCUCCUGUGAUUCUCUAUCGAAAAUGCAAUCACUCAUAGAUAUGGGUUCUUUAUACAGUCAAAAUAUAUAACCUUUUAAUUGAGAUUAAAAUGCAUCACAAAAAAUGGAAAAAAAACUAAAAUUUAUCAGGUAUGUGAAACUCACCGAUCUCUAUAUAUAGCUGUUAUCCAUAUAGCCGGAGGGUAUAAUCUUUGGAACCAGUCAAUGCCGUAGAGCCAAGUCAGCUUCGUUGUAACAGGAGAAUUUUAGAGAGAGAAGAGAAGAGAGUUUUAGAGAGAGAGAGAGAGG
rnacentral:lncRNA from 1 species